rnacentral:tRNA from 1 species
UCGUUCCGUGUGACCCGGAACGGUCGUUCCGUGUGACCCGGAACGGUCGUUCCGUAUGACCCGGAACGGUCGUUCCGUAUGACCCGGAACGGUC